UUAUUUGUAAGAAUUUAAUAAGUCAAAUAAGUAAAUUUAUAGUCGUGAGAAAUUGACAGAGAUAAAGCUCAUUAUCUCAUUAGAUCUCAUUAAUCGAAUUGGCCGAAUUUAAGUAGACCAUUACGAAAUGCGAAUGGCAUGAAUAGAAGAAGAAGAAUUCGCGAAGACAAAGCAUAAGAUUGGUUCAGUUAAUUAAAUAAAGCCUUAAAAUACUGGCUAAAGGUUGGAUGCAUUGAGAGUCUAUUCAUCUAUGAUAGGCUAUAUCGCCCAACGAGAGGAAUCACUGAACCUGCGUAGCAUUGGACUGCACCGCAAAUCCCCAGAGUCAACAUAAGAAAGCCGGAACAGGACGUUGCCUUGUGGCUUUGCUGUUUAGAUAGAGGCUCACAGCAGGUGCAUUGUGUUGUGGUCACCUGGCUAAGGUAUCUGCUUUUAAAAGUCUGCCUGCUAUCAAGUUAGUCGAUGUCGGUAGCACUCGGAAAUGGGUUUUCCCACUGACACAGCCAGGCAGACGCCUCUCUCUCUCCUCUCUCUCUCCCUCGCUCUUUGAGCAAUAAGCCACUUUGGAUCAUGAGCAACGACAAUGAUAUAUGUAUAGUAUAGAAAUGAUAUUUUUAUGUGUCAAGUCUGGAUAAAUUGAAUGAGCAAUGCAUCAGCUAAUGCUCGAUUCAUAUUUUUUUUAUUGUCAGCCGAAUUACAAAAUACAAAGUUA